rnacentral:rRNA from 1 species
UGACCUCAAAUCAGGUAGGAUUACCCGCUGAACUUAAGCAUAUCAAUAAGCGGAGGAAAAGAAACUAACAAGGAU